ACCUCCCCGCCCCCCGUCGCUCCUCCUGUCCGUGACCCGCCCACCGCAUCCACCACGUGCGCCCGCACCGCCUCUCAGCGCCCGGCUGAUGCGCAGUGACCCACGGGGGCCCACCUCCCCAACCGGGGAGCGUCUGGCCUACCGGGAAUAGGCGCCUCUCUCCUGCCUCGGGGAGACGGUUUGGAAGAAGGGCAGGACCUGAGAGGCGGCCAGCGUGUCCUCUCGCAGCAGCAGGACAGGGAAGCCCGCGAAGAGAGGACAUGGACUUUGACCCCAUCAAUAAACUCGUAUAAUAAAAAAGUGCGGGAACUGGA